rnacentral:rRNA from 1 species
AUUGAACGCUGGCGGCAGGCCUAACACAUGCAAGUCGAGCGAGCGGCGGACGGGUGAGUACUGUAUGGGGACUGCCCGAUAGAGGGGGAUAACUACUGGAAACGGUAGCUAAUACCGCAUACUAUCGGAUAACCCAUAUGGGAUUAGCUAGUAGGUGGGGUAAUGGCUCACCUAGGCGACGAUCCCUAGCUGGUCUGAGAGGAUGAUAAGCCACACGGGGACUGAGACACUGCCCAGACGCCGACGGAGGCAGCAGUGGGGAAUAUCGCUCAAUGGGCGCAAGCCUGAUGCAGCCAUGCCGCGGGUAUGAAGAAGGCCCUAGGGUUGGAAAGUACUUUCAGUCGGGAGGCGUUAGCGACAGAAGAAGCCCCGGCUAACUCCGUGCCAGCAGCCGCGGUAAUAC